rnacentral:rRNA from 1 species
UUGAACGCUGGCGGAAUGCUUUACACAUGCAAGUCGAACGGCAGCACGGGGGCAACCCUGGUGGCGAGUGGCGAACGGGUGAGUAACACAUCGGAACGCGUCCUGUAAUGGGGGAUAACCUGGCGAAAGCCAGGCUAAUACCGCAUGAGACCUGAGGGUGAAAGCGGGGGAUCGCAAGACCUCGCGCUAUUGGAGCGGCCGAUAUCAGAUUAGCUAGUUGGUGGGGUAAAGGCCUACCAAGGCAACGAUCUGUAGUUGGUCUGAGAGGACGACCAGCCACACUGGGACUGAGACACGGCCCAGACUCCUACGGGAGGCAGCAGUGGGGAAUUUUGGACAAUGGGCGCAAGCCUGAUCCAGCAAUGCCGCGUGCAGGAAGAAGGCCUUCGGGUUGUAAACUGCUUUUGUCAGGGAAGAAAUCCUCUGGGUUAAUACCUCGGGGGGAUGACGGUACCUGAAGAAUAAGCACCGGCUAACUACGU